CGGCGAGGGGAGUGAAAUAGAACCUGAAACCGUGUACGUACAAGCAGUGGGAGCACCUUCGUGGUGUGACUGCGUACCUUUUGUAUAAUGGGUCAGCGACUUAUAUUUUGUAGCAAGGUUAACCGAAUAGGGGAGCCGUAGGGAAACCGAGUCUUAACUGGGCGAAUAGUUGCAAGGUAUAGACCCGAAACCCGGUGAUCUAGCCAUGGGCAGGUUGAAGGUUGGGUAACACUAACUGGAGGACCGAACCGACUAAUGUUGAAAAAUUAGCGGAUGACUUGUGGCUGGGGGUGAAAGGCCAAUCAAACCGGGAGAUAGCUGGUUCUCCCCGAAAGCUAUUUAGGUAGCGCCUCGUGAACUCAUCUUCGGGGGUAGAGCACUGUUUCGGCUAGGGGGUCAUCCCGACUUACCAAACCGAUGCAAACUCCGAAUACCGAAGAAUGUUAUCACGGGAGACACACGGCGGGUGCUAACGUCCGUCGUGAAGAGGGAAACAACCCAGACCGCCAGCUAAGGUCCCAAAGUCAUGGUUAAGUGGGAAACGAUGUGGGAAGGCAUAGACAGCCAGGAUGUUGGCUUAGAAGCAGCCAUCAUUUAAAGAAAGCGUAAUAGCUCACUGGUCGAGUCGGCCUGCGCGGAAGAUGUAACGGGGCUAAACCAUG
rnacentral:rRNA from 1 species